rnacentral:rRNA from 1 species
CCUACGGGCGGCAGCAGUGAGGAAUAUUGGUCAAUGGACGGAAGUCUGAACCAGCCAUGCCGCGUGCAGGAAGACGGCGCUAUGAGUUGUAAAAUGCUUUUGUACAAGGGUAAACCUGAAUACGUGUAUUCAGAUGAAAGUACUGUACGAAUAAGGAUCGGCUAACUCCGUGCCAGCAGCAGCGGUAAUACGGAGGAGCCAAGCGUUAUCCGGAUUUAUUGGGGUUAAAGGGUGCGUAGGCGGAUUGAUAAGUUAGAGGUGAAAUGUCCGAGCUUAACUCGGGAACUGCCUCUAAUACUGUUGAUCUAGAGAGUAGAUGCGGUAGGCGGAAUGUAUGGUGUAGCGGUGAAAUGCUUAGAGAUCAUACAGAACACCGAUUGCGAAGGCAGCUUACCAAUCUAUAUCUGACGUUGAGGCACGAAAGCGUGGGGAGCAAACAGGAUUAGAUACCCCUGUAGUC